rnacentral:misc_RNA from 1 species
GAUGAAGAACGCAGCGAAAUGCGAUAAGUAAUGUGAAUUGCAGAAUUCAGUGAAUCAUCGAAUCUUUGAACGCACAUUGCGCCCGCCGGUAUUCCGGCGGGCAUGCCUGUUCGAGCGUCAUUUCACCACUCAAGCCCAGCUUGGUGUUGGGGCACCCGGCCGCCCGGCGGUCGGGGCCCCCAAGUACAUCGGCGGUCUCGCUAGGACCCUGAGCGCAGUAACUCGCGGUAAAACGCGCCUCGCUCGGAGGUUCCCGGCGGGCUUCCAGCCGCUAAACCCCCUAAUCUUCUUAGGUUGACCUCGGAUCAGGUAGGAAUACCCGCUGAACUUAAGCAUAUCAAUAAGCGGAGGA